UACGAAGGGUGCAAGCGUUAAUCGGAAUUACUGGGCGUAAAGCGUGCGUAGGCGGUGACUUAAGUCUGUUGUGAAAUCCCCGGGCUCAACCUGGGAAUGGCAAUGGAUACUGGGUCGCUAGAGUGUGAUAGAGGAUGGUGGAAUUCCCGGUGUAGCGGUGAAAUGCGUAGAGAUCGGGAGGAACAUCAGUGGCGAAGGCGGCCAUCUGGAUCAACACUGACGCUGAGGCACGAAAGCGUGGGGAGCGAACAGG
rnacentral:rRNA from 1 species